AACUGGGAUUAGAUACCCCACUAUGCCCAGCCCUAAACUUAGAUAGCAAAAUACCACCUAUCCGCCAGAGAACUACAAGCAAAAUACUUAAAACUCAAAGGACUUGGCGGCAUUCCAUAUCAACCUAGAGGAGCCCGUCCAAUAAUCGAUAAUACGCGCUUAACCCAACCAUUUUUGGCCACUCCAGCCUAUAUACCGCCGUCGUCAGCUAACCUUGUGAAAGAAAAAAAGUAAGCACAACAGCCCUCGCUAAAACGUCAGGUCAAGGUGUAGCUAAUAAAAUGGGUGUGAUAGGCUACAUUUUCUAUUAUAGAAAAUAACGGAAAAUACAAUGAAACCUUGUAAUAGAAGGUGAAUUUAGAAGUAAACUAAGAAAGAAUCCUUAUUUAACCUCGCUCUGGAAUGCGCACACACC
rnacentral:rRNA from 1 species